AUUGAACGCUGGCGGCAGGCUUAACACAUGCAAGUCGAGCGGGGUGAUGGUGCUUGCACUAUCACUUAGCGGCGGACGGGUGAGUAAUGCUUAGGAAUCUGCCUAUUAGUGGGGGACAACAUCUCGAAAGGGAUGCUAAUACCGCAUACGUCCUACGAGAGAAAGCAGGGGAUCACUUGUGACCUUGCGCUAAUAGAUGAGCCUAAGUUGGAUUAGCUAGUUGGUGGGGUAAAGGCCUACCAAGGCGACGAUCUGUAGCGGGUCUGGGAGGAUGAUCGGACGAACUGGGACUGAGACAAGGCCGAGAAUCCUACGGGAGGCAGCAGUGGGGAAUAUUGGAAAAUGGGGGGAACCCUGAUCAAGCCAUGCCGAGUGUGUGAAGAAGGCCUUAUGGUUGUAAAGAACUUUAAGCGAGGAGGAGGAUACUGAGACUAAUACUCUUGGAUAGUGGACGUUACUCGCAGAAUAAGAACCGGCUAACUCUGUGCCAGCCGACGCCGUAA
rnacentral:rRNA from 1 species